GGACCAUAGCUCUGUGGCAGAACAUCUGCUCUGAAUGCAGAAGGCCCCACGUUCAAUCUCUGGUGUCUCCA